rnacentral:rRNA from 1 species
ACGGGAGGCAGCAGUGGGGAAUAUUGGGCAAUGGGCGAAAGCCUGACCCAGCGACGCCGCGUGAAGGAAGAAGGUCUUCGGAUUGUAAACUUCUUUUAUAUGGGACGAAACAAAUGACGGUACCAUAUGAAUAAGCCACGGCUAACUACGUGCCAGCAGCCGCGGUAAUACGUAGGUGGCGAGCGUUAUCCGGAUUUACUGGGUGUAAAGGGUGUGUAGGCGGGACUGUAAGUCAGAUGUGAAAUAUGCCGGCUCAACUGGCAGACUGCAUUUGAAACUGCGGUUCUUGAGUGAAGUAGAGGUAAGCGGAAUUCCUAGUGUAGCGGUGAAAUGCGUAGAUAUUAGGAGGAACAUCAGUGGCGAAGGCGGCUUACUGGGCUUUAACUGACGCUGAGGCUCGAAAGCGUGGGGAGCAAACAGGAUUAGAUACCCUGGUA